UUUCCUCAAACCUUACAACAAUUUUUCGUAUCUCACUCAAUAUUCAAUCCCUCCUGAUCAGAAACAAGAAGUUGUCUCUUCAAUGACUCCGUUCUAAAAAGGAGGAAAGCUAUAAAAGCUAUUACCAUACAUUUUUCGUUGUCGGGGAUGCAAUUGGAAGCUCCAAUCCAGGGCCUCAAUUCCACUUUGAGUAGGGGUAUCCAACUAUUUGUAUCCAUUCGCAAGGAGUGAGAUGAGCUGAAUGAAGACCAGAGAAAUUGGCGGGGGAGAUAUUAAUCGGAAAGAAUUAUAUUGAUUGGGUUAGU
rnacentral:lncRNA from 1 species